UACGGGGGGUGCGAGCGUUGUCCGGAAUCACUGGGCGUAAAGAGCUCGUAGGCGGUUUGUCGCGUCGGCCGUGAAAUCUCCACGCUUAACGUGGAGCGUGCGGUCGAUACGGGCAGACUUGAGUUCGGUAGGGGAGACUGGAAUUCCUGGUGUAGCGGUGAAAUGCGCAGAUAUCAGGAGGAACACCAAUGGCGAAGGCAGAUCUCUGGGCCGUAACUGACGCUGGAGGAAGCGGAAAGCAUGGGGAGCGAACAGG
rnacentral:rRNA from 1 species